AGAGUUUGAUCCUGGCUCAGAGCGAACGCUGGCGGCAGGCUUAACACAUGCAAGUCGAACGCAUCCUCGGGGUGAGUGGCAGACGGGUGAGUAACACGUGGGAACGUACCCUUCGAUCUGGGAUAACUUCGGGGAAACUGGAGCUAAUACCGGAUACGCCCUUUGGGGGAAAGGUUUACUGUCGAAGGAUCGGCCCGCGUCUGAUUAGCUAGUUGGUGGGGUAACGGCCUACCAAGGCGACGAUCAGUAGCUGGUCUGAGAGGAUGAUCAGCCACACUGGGACUGAGACACGGCCCAGACUCCUACGGGAGGCAGCAGUGGGGAAUAUUGGACAAUGGGCGCAAGCCUGAUCCAGCCAUGCCGCGUGAGUGAUGAAGGCCUUAGGGUUAUAAAGCUCUUUUGUCCGGGACGAUAAUGACGGUACCGGAAGAAUAAGCCCCGGCUAACUUCGUG
rnacentral:rRNA from 1 species